UACAGAGGGGGCAAGCGUUAUUCGGAAUUAUUGGGCGUAAAGGGCGCGUAGGCGGCCGGACAAGUGGAAGGUGAAAUCCCCGAGCUCAACUCGGGAACUGCCCUCCAAACUGUUUGGCUUGAGUCCGGGAGAGGUGAGUGGAAUUCCCCAGUGUAGCGGUGAAAUGCGUAGAUAUUGGGAGGAACACCAGUGGCGAAGGCGGCUCACUGGACCGGCAACUGACGCUGAGGCGCGAAAGCCAGG
rnacentral:rRNA from 1 species